rnacentral:tRNA from 2 species
GCGGGUGUGGCGAAAUUGGCAGACGCACCAGAUUUAGGUUCUGGCGCCGCGAGGCGUGGGGGUUCAAGUCCCUUCACCCGCA